rnacentral:tRNA from 1 species
GCACUAGUGGUCUAGUGGUAAAAUAGUAUCAUGCUACGAUAUAUACUUGGGUUUGAUUCCCGGUUUGUGUA